UUCUCCUGAAGAGCUUCCGCUUCAAGUUCCUCCUCUUCAAUUGCAGGUUUUUCAUCUUUCUCUCCAACAACUAGUUCUUCAGGUUUCUCUUCAAGUGCCAGUUCUUCAGGUGUUUCCUCCUUUGCCAGCUCUUCAGGUGUUUCCUCCUUUGCCAGCUCUUCAGGUGUUUCUUUAGCUGCCGGUUCUUCAGGUUUCUCUUCAACCUCCGGUUCUUGUGGUAUUUCCUCUACUUGUACUUCAGAUUUCUCCUCAAUUGUUGGUUCUUCAGGUUUCUCUCUAACCGCUGCUGCAUUAGGUUUCUCUUCAUUGGCUGGUUCUUCAGGUUUUUCUUCAACUACCGAUUCUUCAGGAUUUUCCUCAAUGUUUGGAAAGGGAGCGACAUCAUUAUUGGUAUUGCAUGGAAUUUCACUGCCAGUUUUGUCAUUCAAGUCCACAACUAGUAUAUUCUGCAAAAGAGUUUAAUGUUUCACUUAGUCUUUCAAUAAAGAAGCAGAUGCGAAUCAUUACAUAUACAUAACUAAUAACAUGGAUAAACUUUAUGACAGUAGUUGACCCUUACCUUUUCCACAAGAGUUACUUUUGCAGGUUUCUCCUCUUCAAGUGCUGGUUUCUCUUCAAAUGAUAGUUCAUUAGGUGUUUCUUCCCGUGUUGGUUCUUCAUGUGCUUCUUCAGUUACUGGUUUUUCAGGUUUCUCCUCAAUUGUUGGUUCUUCGCUUGUCUUCUCAACUGAUGGUUCCUCAUGCUUCUCUCCCGUUGUUGAUUUUUCGGGUUUCUCUUCAGUUGUCGAUGGUUCAGUUUUUUUCUCAACCGCUGGUUCUUUUGGCUUCUCCAAAACCAUUUCCGAUUUCUCUUCAGUUGGUGGUUCUUCAUGGUUUUUUUCAACUACUGGUUCUUCUCUUUUUUCCUCAACUGAUGCAUAGUCAGCAAUAUCGUUGUUGGUAUUGCUUGGAAUUGCAUUGUCUGUCUUGUCCUUUGAGCUUACAAUUGGCAUAUUCUGCUAGAAAAAUAUAAAGUUUCAUGUAGUCUUUCAACAGAGAAACCAAUGUAAAUUUGUUGCACAUAUAAAGCUAACAAAUAUGAUGGAUAGACUUUGCGAGAGUGUUUAAUACUCACCUUCUCCGGAAGAGCUUCCGUUUCAGGUUCCUCUUCAAUUUCUGCUUUUUCAUCUUUCUCUUCAACAACUAGUUCUUCAGGUGUCUCUUCAACCGUUGAUUCUUCAGGUUUCUCUUCAAGUGUUAGUUCUUGAGGUGUUUCCUCCUUUGCUAGCUCUUCAGGUGUUUCUGUAACUGCCGGUUCUUCAGGUUCCUCUUCAGCCACCGGCUGUUGACGUAUCUCCUCUACUUGUACUUCAGAUUUCUCCUCAAUUGUUGGUUCUUCAGGUUUCUCCUUAACCGCUGGUACAUCAGGUUUAUCCUCAUUGACUGGUUCUUCAACUGCUGAUUCUUCUAGAUUUUCCUCAAUGUCUGGAAAGCGAGCAACAUCAUUAUUGGUAUUGCAUGGAAUUUCAUUUCCAGUUUCGUUAUUCGAGUCUACAAUUAGCAUAUUCUGCAAAAAGAAUUUAAUGUUUCAUUUAGCCUUUCAAUAAAGAAGCAUAUGCGAAUAACAGUACAUGCAUAACUAACAAAAUGGAUAAACUUUGUGAUAGUGCUUGAUCCUUACCUUUGCCAAAAGAGUUACCUUUUCAGGUUUCUCCUCUUCAACGGUUGGUUCUUCAUGUUUCUUUUCAAAUGCUAGUUCCUUGGUUGUUUCUUCCGGUGUUGGUUCCAUAGGUGUUUCUUCAGUUACUUGUUUUUCGGGUUUCUCUUCAAUUAUUGGUUCUUCGAUUGUCUUCUCAACUGAUGGUUCUUCAAGAUUUUCUCCCACUGUUGGUUUUUGGGGUUUCUCUUCUAUUGUUGGUUGUUCAGGAAUUUUCUCAACUGGUGGUUCUGCUGGAUAUUCCAAAACCAUUGAUUCUUCAGAUUUCUCUUCAAUUGAUGGUUCUUCAUGGGUUUUUUCAACUACUGGUUCUUCAAUUUUUUCCUCAACAGAUGCAUAGUCAACAAUAUCAUUAUUGGUAUUGCUUGGAAUUGCAUCGUCUGUCAUGUCCUUUGAGUUUACUUUUGGCAUAUUCUGCAAUAGAGUUUCAUGUAAUCUUUCAACAGAUAAACAGAUGUAAAUUUGUUGCACAUAUAAAGCUAAUAUGGUGGAUAAACUUUGUGACAGUGUUUAAUCCUCACCUUCUCCUGAAGAUCUUCCGCUUCAAGUUCCUCCUCUACAAUUGCAGUUUUUUCCUCUUCCCCUUCAACAACUAGUUCUUCAGGUGCCUCUUCAGCCGUUGAUUCUUCAGGUUUCUCUUCAAGUGCUAGUUCUUCAGGUGUUUCCUCCUUUGCCAGCUCUUCAGGUGUUUCUUUAGAUGCCGAUUCUUCAGGUUUCUCUUCAGCCAUCGGUUCUUGAGGUAUUUCCUCUACUUGUACUUCAUAUUUCUCCUCAAUUGUUUGUUCUUCAGGUUUCUCUUCAGGUUUCUCCUUAACCACUGGUACAUCAGGUUUCUCUUGAUUAACUGGUUCUUUGGGUUUUUCUUCAACAGCCGAAUCUUCAGGAUUUUCCUCAAUGUCUUGAAAGCAAGCAAUAUCUUUAGUGGUAUUGCAUGGAAUUUCACUGCCAGUUUUGUUGUUCGAGUCUACAAUUAGCAUAUUCUGCAAAAGGAAUUUGAUGUUUCAUUUAGCCUUUUAAUAAAGAAGCAGAUGUGAAUAACAUUACAUGCAUAACUUACAAAAUGGAUAAAUUUUGUGACAGUCCUUGACCCUUACCUUUUCAGGUUUCUCCUCUUCAACAGCUGAUUCUUCAUGUUUCUCUUCAAAUGCUAGUUCUCUGGGUGUUUCUUCCCGUAGUGCUUCUUCAUGUGCUUCUUCAGUUACUGGUUUUUCAGGUUUCUCCUCAAUUGUUGGUUCUUUGAUUGUCUCCUCAACAGAUGGUUCUUCAAGCUUCUCUCCCGUUGUUGAUUUUUCUGGUUUCUCUUCAAUUGCUGGUUGUUCAGGAAUUUUCUCAACAGCUGGUUCUUCUGGCUUCUCUAAAACCAUUGAUUCUUCAGCUUUCUCUUCAAUUGAUGGUUCUUCAUGGUUUUUUUCAACUAUUGGUUCUUCAGUUUUUUCCUCAACGGAUGCAUAGUCAACAAUAUCAUUGUUGGUAUUGCUUGGAAUUGCAUCGUCUGUCAUGUCCUUUGAGUUUACUUUUGGCAUAUUCUACAAUAAAGUUUCAUGUAGUCUUUCAAUAGAUAAACAGAUGUAAAUUUGUUGCAACAUAUAAAGCUAAUAUGGUGGAUAAACUUUGUGACAGUGUUUAAUCCUCACCUUCUCCCGAAGAUCUUCCGCUUUAAGUUCCUCCUCUUCAAUUGCUGUUUUUUCAUCUUUCGUUUCAACAACUAGUUCUUCAGGUGCCUCUUCAGCCGUUGAUUCUUCAGGUUUUUCUUCAAGUGCCAGCUCUUCAGGUGUUUCCUCCUUUGCCAUCUCUUCAGGUGUUUCCUCCUUUGCCAGCUCUUCAGGUGUUUCUUUAGCUGCUGGUUCUUCAGGUUUCUCUUCAGCCGCCAGUUCUUGAGGUAUCUCCUUUUCUACUUCAGAUUUCUCCUCAACUGUUGGUUCUUCAGGUUUCUCUUCAUUAACUGGUUCUUUGGGUUUUUCUUCAACAGCCGAAUCUUCAGGAUUUUCCUCAAUGUCUGGAAAGUGAGCAACAUCUUUAUUGGUAUUGCAUGCAAUUUCACUGUCAGUUUUGUCGUUCAAGUCUACAAUUAGCAUAUUCUGCAAAAAGAAUUUGAUGUUUCAUUUAGCCUAUUAAUAAAGAAGCAGAUGUGAAUAACAUUACAUGCAUAACUUACAAAAUGGAUAAACUUUGUGAUGGUCCUUGACCCUUACCUUUCCAGGCUUCUCCUCUUCAACGGCCAGUUCUUGUUUCUCUUCAAAUGCUAGUUCCCUGGGUGUUUCUUCCUGUAUUGGUUCUUCAUGUGCUUCUUCAGGUACUGGUUUUUCAGGUUUCUCCUCAAUUGUUGGUUCUUCGAUUGUCUCCUCAACAGAUGGUUCUUCAAGGUUCUCUCCCGUUGUUGAGUCUUCUGGUUUCUCUUCAAUUGCUGGUUGUUCAGAAAUUUUCUCAACAGCUGGUUCUUCUGGCUUCUCCAAAACCAUUGAUUCUUCAGCUUUCUCUUCAAUUAAAGGUUCUUCAUGGUUUUUUUCAACUACUGUUUCUUCAGUUUUUUCCUCAACGGAUGCAUAGUCAACAACAUCAUUGUUGGUAUUGCUUGGAAUUGCAUCGUCUGUCAUGUCCUUUGAGCUUACUUUUGGCAUAUUCUGCAAUAAAGUUUCAUGUAGUCUUUCAAUAGAUAAACAGAUGUAAAUUUGUUGCACAUAUAAAGCCAAUAUGGUGGAUACACUUUGUGACAGUGUUUAAUCCUCACCUUCUCCUGAAGAUCUUCCGCUUCAAGUUCUUCCUCUUCAAUUGCUGUUUUUUCAUCUCUCUCUUCAACAACUUGUUCUUCAGGUGCCUCUUCAGCCGUUGAUUCUUCAGGUUUCUCUUCAAGCACUAGUUCUUCAGGUGUUUCCUCCUUUGCCAGCUCUUCAGGUGUUUCUUUAGCUGCCAGUUCUUCAGGUUUCUCUUCAGCUGCCGAUUCUUGAGGUAUUUCCUUUACCUGUACUUUAGAUUUCUCCUCAAAUGUUGGUUCUUCAGGUUUCUCCUUAACCGCAGGUACAUCAGGUUUCUCUUCAGCUGCUGGUUUUUGAGGUUUCUCCUCUACUUGUACCUCGGAUUUCUCCUCAACCAUCGGUUCUUCAGGUUUCUCCUCAACCUCUGGUACGUCAGGUUUCUCUUCAUUAACAAGUUCUUCACUUUUUUCUUCAAUAGUUGAUUCUUCAGGAUUUUCCUUAGUGUCUGGAGAGUAAGCAACAUCAUUAUUGGUAUUGCAUGGAAUUUCACUGCCAGUUGUGUCGUUCGACUCUACCAUUGGCAUAUUCUGCAGAAAGAAUUUAAUGUUUCACUUUGCCUUUCAAUAAAGAAGCCGAUGUAAAUCAGAGGACAUACAUAACUAAAAAAGAUGGAUUAACUUUGUGAUAGUGUUUGACUCUUACCUUUUCGAAAAGAGUUAUCUUUUCAGGUUUCUCCUCUUCAACUGUUGGUUCUUCAUGUUUCUCUUCAAAUGCUAGUUCCUCAGGUGUUUCUUCCUGUAUUGGUUCCUCAGGUGUUUCUUCUUCUGUUACUUGCUUUUCAGGUUUCUCCUCAAUUGUUGGUUCUUUGAUUGUCUCCCCAAUCGAUGGUUCUUCAAGCUUUCCCCCCCCUGUUGGUUUUUCAGGUUUCUCUUCAAUUUUCGGUUGUUCAGGUAUUUUCUCAACUGCCGGUUCUUCUGCCUUCUCCAACACCAUUGAUUCUUCAGAUUCCUCUUCAAUUGAUGAUUCUUCAUGGGUUUUUUUAACUACUGACUCUUCUGUGUUUUCCUCAACUGAUGCAUAAUCAGCAAUGUCGUUGUCGGUAUUGCUUGGAAUUGCAUUGUCUAUCUUGUCCUUUGAGUUUAAUUUUGGCAUAUUCUGCAAUAAAGUUUCAUGUAGUCUUUCAAUAGAUAAACAGAUGUAAAUUUGUUGCACUCAUAAAGCUAAUAUGAUGGAUAAAAUUUGUGACAGUGUUUAAUCCUCACCUUCUCCUGAAAAACUUCUGUUUCAAGUUCCUCCUCUUCAAUUGCUGCUUUUUCAUCUUUCUUCUCUACAACUAAUUCUUCAGGUUCCUCCUCAACGGUUGAUUCUUCAGGCUUUUCUUCAAGUACUAGUUCUUCAGGUGUUUCCUCCUUUGCUAGCUCUUCAGGUGUUCCUUUAGCUGCCGGUUCUUCUGGCUUCUCUUCAGCCUCCGGUUUUUGAGAUAUCUCCUCUACUUGAACUUUAGAUUUCUCAUUAAUUGUUGGUUCUUCAGGUUUCACCUCAACCGCUGGUACAUCAGAUUUCUCCUCAUUAACUGGUUCUUCAGGUUUUUCUUCAACAGCCAAUUCUUCAGGAAUUUCCUCAAUGUCUGGAAAGUGAACAACAUUAUUCUUCGUAUUGCAUGGAAUUUCACUGCCACUGUUGUCGUUCGAGUCUAUAAUUAGCAUAUUCUGCAUAAAGAAUUCAAUGUUUUACUUAGCCUUUCAAUAAAGAAGCAGGUGUGAAUCACAAUACAUGCAUAUCUAACAAAAUGGAUAAACUUUGUGAUAGUGCUUGGCCCUUACCUUUUCUAAAAGAGUUUCCUUUUCAGGUUUCUCCUCUUCGAUGGCUGGUUCUUCAUGUUUCUCUUCAAAUGGUAGUUCAUUUGGUGUUUCUUCUCGUGUUGGUUCUUCAGGUGCUUCCUCAGUUACUGGUUUUACAGGUUUCUCUUCAACUGUUAGUUCUUCGAGUGUCUCCUCCAUCGAUGGUUCCUCAAGUUUCUCUCUUGCUGCUGGUUUUUCAGAUUUAUCUUCAACUAUCGGUUGUUCAGGUUUAUUCUCAAUCGCUGGUUCUGCAGGCUUCUCCGAAACCGCUGAUUCUUCAGAUUUCUCUUCAAUUGGUGAUUCUUCGUGUUUUUUUUCAACUACGGGUUCUUCAGUUUUUUCCUCAACUGAUGCAUAAUCAGCACUAUCAUUGUUGGUAUUGCAUGGAGUUGCAUUUUCUGUCUUGUUCUUUGAGCCUACAAUUGGUGAAUUCUGCAAAAAAUUUAAAAUUUCAUUUAGUCUUUAAAUAGAUAAACAGAUGUAAAUUCAUUGCACAUAUAAAGCUAAUAUGAUAGAUAAACUUUGUGACAGUGUUUAAUCUUCACCUUCUCCUGAAGAGCUUCCAUUUCUAGUUCCUCCUCUUCACUUGCUGGUUUUUCAUCUUUCUCUUCAACAACUAGUUCUUCAGGUGUCUUUAUAGUCUUUGAUUCUUCAGGUGCUUCUUUAUCUGCCCGUUCUUCAGGUUUCUCUUCAGCCACCGGUUCUUGAGGUAUAUUCUCUUGUACUUCAGAUCUCUCCUCAAUUAUUGGUUCUGCAGGUUUCUCUUCAUUGUCUGGUUCUUUGGGUUUUUCUUCGACAGCCAAUUCUUCAAGAUGAUUUUCCUCAAUGUCUGGAAAGUGAGCAACAUCAUUAUUGGUAUUGCAUGGAAUUUCACUGUCAGUUUUGUCGUUCAAGUCUACAAUUAGC
rnacentral:lncRNA from 1 species